rnacentral:rRNA from 1 species
UACGUAGGGGGCUAGCGUUGUCCGGAAUCAUUGGGCGUAAAGAGCUCGUAGGCGGCUCAGUAAGUCGGGUGUGAAACCCCCAGGCUCAACCUGGGGACGCCACCCGAUACUGCUGUGGCUAGAGUCCAGUAGGGGAGUGUGGAAUUCCCGGUGUAGCGGUGAAAUGCGCAGAUAUCGGGAGGAACACCAGCGGCGAAGGCGGCACUCUGGGCUGGUACUGACGCUGAGGAGCGAAAGCGUGGGUAGCAAACAGG